rnacentral:rRNA from 11 species
GCGCCCGGAUGUAGAUUCUCCGCGGCAACGCAACUGAAGGUCGAGACGUCGGCGGGGGCCCUGGGAAGAGUUCUCUUUUCUUCUUAACAGUCUGUCACCCUGAAAUCGGUUUGUCCGGAGCUAGGGUUUAACGGCCGGCAGAGCACUACACCUCUGUAGUGUCCGGUGCGCUCCCGACGCCCCUUGAAAAUCCACUGGAAGGAAUAAGAUUCGCGCCAGGUCGUACUCAUAACCGCAGCAGGUCUCCAAGGUGAACAGCCUCUGGUCGAU